AACGAACGCUGGCGGCAGGCUUAACACAUGCAAGUCGAACGCACCUUUCGUGGUGAGUGGCAGACGGGUGAGUAACGCGUGGGAAUCUACCCUUCUCUACGGGAUAGCUCCGGUAAACUGGAAUUAAUACCGUAUACGUCCUGAGGGAGAAAGAUUUAUCGUGGAAGGAUGAGCCCGCGUUGGAUUAGCUAGUUGGUGGGGUAAAGGCCUACCAAGGCGACGAUCCAUAGCUGGUCUAAGAGGAUGAUCAGCCACAUUGGGACUGAGACACGGCCCAAACUACUACGGGAGGCAGCAGUGGGGAAUAUUGGAAAAUGGGCGCAAGCCUGAUCCAGCCAUGCCGCGUGAGUGAUGAAGGCCCUAGGGUUGUAAAGCUCUUUCAGUGGGGACGAUAAUGACGGUACCCACAGAAGAAGCCCCGGCUAACUUCGUG
rnacentral:rRNA from 1 species